CCGAGGUGGAUGGACCGCUUAAACGGCUGCUCGUGCCGAUUCUUUUACCUGAGAAAUGCUACGACCAACUUUUCGUUCAGUGGGACUUGCUUCACGUCCCCUGCCUCAAGAUUCUCCUCAGCAAAGGCCUGGGGCUGGGCAUUGUGGCUGGCUCACUUCUAGCUGCCCCAGGUGUUUAAAAUCCUGGGAGCCAAGAGUGCCGAAGGGUUGAGUCUCCAGUCUGUAAUGCUGGAGCUAGUGGCAUUGACUGGGACCAUGGUCUACAGCAUCACUAACAACUUCCCAUUCAGGUGAGGGGCCCACCCUUCCACCCCAAGGGUAAUACCCACAACUCUAAUGGGGAUUCAGGUGAAGGAGGUUACAAGGCAGGAAAGUGGCCAGGCCCAGUGGCU
rnacentral:sRNA from 1 species